rnacentral:rRNA from 1 species
UACAGAGGUGGCAAGCGUUGUUCGGAAUUACUGGGCGUAAAGGGCGCGUAGGCGGCCAUCUAAGUCAGACGUGAAAUCCCCCGGCUUAACCUGGGAACUGCGUCUGAUACUGGACGGCUUGAGUUUGGGAGAGGGAUGCAGAAUUCCAGGUGUAGCGGUGAAAUGCGUAGAUAUCUGGAGGAACACCGGUGGCGAAGGCGGCACUCUGGGCCGGUACUGACGCUGAGGAGCGAAAGCGUGGGGAGCGAACAGG